ACGAACGCUGGCGGCGUGCUUAACACCUGCAAGUCGAACGCUGAAGCUCAGCUUUUGUUGGGUGGAUGAGUGGCGAACGGGUGAGUAACACGUGAGUAACCUGCCCCCUUCUUUGGGAUAACGCCCGGAAACGGGUGCUAAUACUGGAUAUUCACUGGUCUUCGCAUGGGGGUUGGUGGAAAGGGUUUUUCUGGUGGGGGAUGGGCUCGCGGCCUAUCAGCUUGUUGGUGGGGUGAUGGCCUACCAAGGCUUUGACGGGUAGCCGGCCUGAGAGGGUGACCGGUCACAUUGGGACUGAGAUACGGCCCAGGCUCCUACGGGAGGCAGCAGUGGGGAAUAUUGCACAAUGGGCGCAAGCCUGAUGCAGCGACGCCGCGUGAGGGAUGGAGGCCUUCGGGUUGUGAACCUCUUUCGCUCAUGGUCAAGCCGCAACAAUGGUUGUGGUGAGGGUAGUGGGUAAAGAAGCGCCGGCUAACUACGUG
rnacentral:rRNA from 1 species